ACCCCAACUUGACUAAAUGUUGACAUGUUCACUUAGUUCUAGUUUUAGGGAGAAAGAAGUCAGUACAUUUCUUCUCUGCUCACAGCAAACUUUGCAUCCCACUUGAGCUUCGACAUAAUGAAAAAUGGAAAAAAAAACGAUGUAAAAAGUAGAUUGAAUAGAAUCCCAAACUAAUAACUUACUUCCUGUUUUAACUGGGUUUUUUUGGUUUGCUUUUUUUUUGAUAAUUAAAAAUUAUGAUUUGAUUCAUGGGUAACUGGAACUGGCUUCACGUUUCACAGGAAGCUUUAACUAGUUAAUUCAUAAGCAACACAUCUUGCUUCCAAAUGUAAAAAGUGUUCUUAUGCUAUUCUUAUGCUACUUACAAAAAAAAAAGAUAGAUAGGAUAUAGUGAAGUUUUAAACCAAAACAUUUGAUUUUUUAAUAUUAUCAUUGUGAACUUAUCAUUGUGAACUUAUCA